rnacentral:rRNA from 1 species
CCUACGGGUGGCAGCAGUCGAGAAUCAUUCACAAUGGGGGAAACCCUGAUGGUGCGACGCCGCGUGGGGGAAUGAAGGUCUUCGGAUUGUACACCCCUGUCAUGUGGGAGCAAAUUAAAAAGAUAGUACCCCAAGAGGAAGAGACGGCUAACUCUGGGACAGCAGCCGCGGUAAUACAGGGGUCUCAAGCGUUGUUCGGAAUCACUGGGCGUAAAGCGUGCGUAGGCUGUUUCGUAAGUCGUGUGUGAAAGGCGCGGGCUCAACCCGCGGACGGCACAUGAUACUGCGAGACUAGAGUAAUGGAGGGGGAACCGGAAUGCUCGGUGUAGCAGUGAAAUGCGUAGAUAUCGAGAGGAACACUCGUGGCGAAGGCGGGUUCCUGGACAUUAACUGACGCUGAGGCACGAAGGCCAGGGGAGCAAACAGGAUUAGAUACCCUUGUAGUC